UGGGGGCUCAACGAAAGCAGCGGAUGUAGCAGGUUCUUAGGCAAGGCCCCCACUGAUGAGAGCCUCUGGCUGUGGGCCAGGCUCAGGCGGCCUCAGCCCACAGCACAGGUCCCAGCUGAACUGCAAGCUGCUGUCCCACCGUCCCCAGCUCAGAGCAAAGCAGAAACUCGAAGCAGACGCUGCUCCCCAAAAGCAGCACCCCAAAAGAUGCUGGGGCAGGCGCCAUGGGCAAGGCUGUCUCCUUCUGGCCCUGCCGUCCUGCUGCUGGUGCUCUGUACAGCUGCCAGCAUGACCUGCCAGAACAUCUGCAGCUCCCCAGGUACUCGUGAGUCCUUCCCUCCCAGACCCUGCGCACUUGGAAGCCCAACCACUGUGAGCUGUGCCCUAUGGCAGCCCUUCACUGCUGUGUCUCCUGCAGGGGAUCUCCCAGCUCCUGCUCUCCAAAUGAACUCAAGUUCUGCUCAGCCAGGUACCACUGUUGUGCUCCAGUGUAUUCUCCAUGUGGUGUCACAUGCAAGACGAAUCAUCAUCUGCAAGGAUGGGAAGGAGGUGUACAGCCAGAAAGCCCAUGAAGGGCAGCUGAGCUACUCCCUGGUCCUGAACAUCACGUCAAGUACUGCAGGAAUAUAUACCUGUGGGUACCAGGAGUGGAAUGAGAUGAAACACAAGAGGAGCUCUGCCCUCAAUGCUGGCCAAAUCCUGGAUGUCCCCGGUGCAGCUGCUGGCGUGACCACCCAGGACAUCGGCAGCUCCCCAGGUGAGGUUGAGCGUGGGGAUGGGUGACUGAAGAGAGGAGUGUGUGGGGUGGUGAUGGCAAGGGAGAGGGAAUUUGUUCUCUGUGUGUGAGCUCCUGGGAAGGAAUCACUUCCCUGCAUGGAACACAAAGCAUUUUGUGUCCAGUUCUGGGAUUCCCUGUACAAGAGGGGCAUAGAACUACUGGAGAGAGUCCAGAGGAGGGUUGCAAAGAUGAUCAGAGGACCGGAGCCAAGAGCACUGAGUCUGUUUUGCCUGGAAAAGAGGAGACUGAGGGGAGACCUCAUCCAUGUCUAUAAAUAUCUGAGGGGAGGGUGUUGAGAGAAUGGUGCUGGUCUGCCCAGGGAAAGGGCGAGAAGCAAUGGGCUCAAACUGAAGCACAGAAAGUUCCAUCUGGAUAUGAGGGGCAAUUCUUUACUGGGAGGGUGACAGAGCACUGGAACAGGCUGCCCAGAGAUGCUGUGGAGUCUCCUCUGCAGAUAUUCCAAACCCACCUGGAUGCCAUUCUGUGUAGUCUGUCCCAGGUGAUCCUGCUCAGCAGAAGGCUGGACUCCAUGACUUUCAGAGGUCCCUUCCAACCUUGGCCAUUCUGUGAUUGUGUGAUCCUCUAGCACCAAGAAUCACAGACAGAUGAGAGUGGUGGUGCCAUAUUUAAUCGACAGGCACACCUUGGCCAAGCUAUACUUAACCACUCACGAGGGAAUUUAGACAGCAGAUCCAUGGAGACCUAUGUUGGCACAACAACCGCGGGCAAUUUUAUGCCUUCCCUGGGGAUGGUGCUGGCUGUCGGUGGGGGGAUGUGGCCAUGGGGAUGAGGCUCGUUCUGGGAAGGAUCUGGGUGCACUGUAGGCACUAAGCCUGUCCUUUUGUCCUGCCAGGCAAUGUGGUGAGUUCCCCAGCAAGUCCAUCAACCACAGGUGAGUGAUUCCCUCCUACACCCCCAGAAACCCGAGAAUGGGGAGUGGGUGUGCUGUGCUGCCAUCCCCAGGGCAUGGGGACAAACAGGAGCUUUACCAGGCAGGAGCUGUGC
rnacentral:lncRNA from 1 species